rnacentral:tRNA from 1 species
GCAGAGGUAGCGAAGUGGUCAAACGCGCAAGACUCAAGAUCUUGUGGCUUAGUGCCUUCGGAGGUUCGAAUCCUCCUCUCUGCA